rnacentral:rRNA from 1 species
AGAGCAUUUGGUGGAUGCCUUGGCAUAAAGAGGCGAUGAAGGACGUGACAGACUGCGAUAAGCUCGGACUUGCUGUCAAUAAGCUUAAUCCGAGAUCUCCGAAUGGGGAAACCCAAUAACUUAUAAGUGAAUUCAUAGCUUAUAAGGGCGAACCUAGGGAACUGAAACAUCUAAGUACCUAGAGGAAAAGAUAUUCCGUUAGUAGUGGCGAGCGAAAGCGGAUCAGGCCAGUGCUACUUUUUACUAAACCAGAACUGUAUGGAAAGGCAGGCCAUAGUGAGUGAUAGCCUCGUAUGGGUAGAUAGUAAAAAAUAGACAUGAGUAGGGCGGGACACGUGAAAUCCUGUCUGAAUAUAGGAAGACCACUUCCUAAGCCUAAAUACUACUUUACGACCGAUAGUGAACCAGUACCGUGAGGGAAAGGCGAAAAGAACCCCUAGCAGGGGAGUGAAAUAGACCCUGAAACCGGAUGCUUACAAGCAGUUGGAGCCUCUUUAUGAGGUGACAGCGUACCUUUUGUAUAAUGGGUCAGCGACUUAAUCUCAUUAGCAAGCUUAAGCCACAUAGGUGUAGGCGAAGCGAAAGCGAGUCUGAAUAGGGCGAUUUAGUUAAUGGGAUUAGACUCGAAACCGAGUGAUCUAGUCAUGAGCAGGUUGAAAGUGAAGUAAAAUUCACCGGAGGACCGAACCCACUAGCGUUGAAAAGCUACGGGAUGACUUGUGAUUAGGGGUGAAAGGCCAACCAAACUCGGAAAUAGCUAGUUCUCCGCGAAAACUAUUUAGGUAGUGCGUCGUGUGAAUCUUGUCGGGGGUAGAGCACUGAAUGGGCUAGGGGGAAGCAAUUCCUACCAAACCUAAUCAAACUCCGAAUACCGAUAAGUCUGCACGGCAGACAGUCCAUGGGUGCUAAGGUCCUUGGACGAGAGGGAAACAGCCCAGAUCAACAGCUAAGGUCCCCAAAUAAUGAUUAAGUGUGAAAGGGAGUGGGAACUCCAAGACAGCCAGGAGGUUGGCUUAGAAGCAGCCAUCCUUUAAAGAAAGCGUAACAGCUCACUGGUCUAAUUAAGAGAUCCUGCACCGAAAAUGUAACGGGGCUCAAAUCAUUUACCGAAGCUUUGACAAUUACUUUGUAAUUGGGUAGCGGAGCGUUCUGUAAGCCUGUAAAGGUGAUGCGUAAGCAUUGCUGGAGGUAUCAGAAGUGCGAAUGCUGACAUGAGUAACGAUAAGAAAUGUGAAAGACAUUUCCGCCGAAAUCCUAAGGUUUCCUGCGUAAAGCUAAUCUGCGCAGGGUUAGUCGGCCCCUAAGGCGAGGGCGAAAGCCGUAGUCGAUGGGAAGCAGGUUAAUAUUCCUGCACCAGCUGGUAGUGACGGAUGAAGUAAAUUGUAAGUUCUUACUGGAUUGAGCUUGCAGUGAAUUUGUCCCUGGAAAUAGCUCCAGCAUUAGACCGUACCAAAACCGACACAGGUAGGAGGGUAGAGAAUACCAAGGCGCUUGAGAGAACUAUGUUGAAGGAACUCGGCAAAUUACACUUGUAACUUCGGGAUAAAAGUGACCUGCUAUUGGGCAACCAGUAGGAGGUGGCACAGAAGAGGGGGUAGCGACUGUUUACUAAAAACAUAGCACUAUGCAAAGUCGAAAGACGACGUAUAUGGUGUGACGCCUGCCCGGUGCCGGAAGGUUAAUAGGAGGGGUGCAAGCCCUGAAUUGAAGCCCCGGUGAACGGCGGCCGUAACUAUAACGGUCCUAAGGUAGCGAAAUUCCUUGUCGGGUAAGUUCCGACCUGCACGAAUGGCGUAACGAUUUCCCCACUGUCUCCAACAUAGACUCAGUGAAAUUGAAUUCUCGGUUAAGAUGCCGAGUAACCGUGGUUAGACGGAAAGACCCCGUGCACCUUUACUGCAGCUUUGUAUUGGUAUUAGGGAACAGAUGUGUAGCAUAGGUGGGAGACUUUGAAGGAGUGGCGCUAGCCAUUCUGGAGUCACUAGUGAAAUACCACUCUUCUGUUCCUUGAUGCCUAACCAUACACCG